CCCCCAUAAGAAAAGCAUGAAGUUUAGCACCAGUUUACCAUACCAGAAGCAGGAUUGGUGCAAUUCCAAUGUCCUUAUAACAGGAGUUUCUUCCUUGAAUCUAGUGAUGUCAUUGGGUGAAUUAUUUGUUUUUUACCUGGCAUCUGUUCAACCAGAAUAUUAGAUGUUUAAUUCGUAACUUGAUAAUCCACCUCAGCUAAUUCUAUUGUUCUUUGUGUUGCAAUAAACCUAAGCAUUGAACAGUGUGGGAUCUAGUGAGAGGCUAGCAUUACAAUGCCCUUCAUGUCAAAUCAGGGCAUGGUAUAUAGCCAGGAGCAUGAUACGUUAUUGUUUAUACAUUUUAUGCCACCUGUUUGUAAUAGAACACUACCAUACUCCAAGAUUUGUUUGGUGAGAAACAUUGAUGUAGACAUUUGAUUUCAGCUUGCCUUAGCCAUGAAUUUCAUGUUUACUUUAGUUUAUGAUCAGGAAAAUAUUUAGCUCACCUGAUUUUAAAGUUCAUUAUAUAGUUUUUGAUGACAGCAGUCUUAAUUGCUUACAUUCUUAUAUUCUUUUCUUUAACUGCAGAGGCCCAUUUUGACUAAAAUUAUUUCAUAUUCCCUAGUUAUUAAAAGUAAUACUCCUCUAUUUUGCCCUAAAAUGGUUGGUGUCUUGGUGUUUUGAGCUAUAAUCGAAAGAAAACACCUUAUGUUGUUUUGAAAUAUUUUCUCAUUGACAUCCUCUUAGCCAUGUUUGAUUAAUUUUUCCAGUUAGAAAAGAACAUUUUUUUGCUGUGUGUACACAUUUAUAAACUUAAAUGUCUUGGAUUGCUACUAAGGUGCUUUUUUUGUUUUAAGAGGUCUUGUUUGCUAAACAAUUCAAUAAACUCCUCAUAAAAA
rnacentral:sRNA from 1 species